rnacentral:lncRNA from 1 species
CAAAAGCCCCAAAAUGAACCAAUCCUGAAAUAUCAUUUGUAGUUAGCAGCUGCAUUGAGCUCUUUGGGGAAGUGGAGAAUGGACCUGGACUGUUGGAAGAACGGAACAGUGGGCUACACUCUUAACAAAUGUGAUUCAUGCAUAUGCUGUCCUCUUUUUGAAUAGAUCCCAUGAGGAGAGUCACUGUAGGACCACUGAAGAUCAAAGGACCAGAACAUCUCUCUGGCGGAGACUGAGAUUGCUGAGACUGUUCAGCCUGGAGAAAGAAAGACUGAGAGCGGAUCUUAUCAAUGUCUAUCGGUCCUGGAAGGAAUGGUACAGAAAAGAUGGAGCCAGGUUCUGUGCAGUGGUACCCAGUGUGAGGACGAGAGGCAAUGAGUACAAAUCAGAACACAGGAUGUCCCCUCUGAACACCAG